rnacentral:rRNA from 1 species
AGAGUUUGAUCCUGGCUCAGGACGAACGCUGGCGGCGUGCCUAAUACAUGCAAGUCGAGCGGAUCCCUUCGGGGAUUAGCGGCGGACGGGUGAGUAACACGUGGGGAACCUGGCAUCAAGUGGGGGAUAACGCCUGGAAACGGGUGCUAAUUCCGCAUAGGCUCUUUGCUCGCAUGAGUGAAGAAGGAAAGGCGCUUUGGCGUCGCUUGAUGAUGGCCCCGCGGCGCAUUAGCUAGUUGGUGGGGUAACGGCUUACCAAGGCGACGAUGCGUAGCCGACCUGAGAGGGUGACCGGCCACACUGGGACUGAGACACGGCCCAGACUCCUACGGGAGGCGAC